AUUCCAGCUCCAAUAGCGUAUAUUAAAGUUGUUGUGGUUAAAAAGCUCGUAGUUGGAUUUCUGCUGAGGACGACUGGUCCGCCCCCUGGGUGAGCAUCUGGUUCGGCCUGGGCAUCUUCUUGGGGAACGUAUCUGCACUUGAUUGUGUGAUGCGGUAUCCAGGACUUUUACUUUGAGAAAAUUAGAGUGUUUCAAGCAGGCAAUUGCAGGAAUACAUUAGCAUGGAAUAACGAAUGGGUCUACAAUUUGGUUGAUUGUAGAUUGCGAUUAAUAGGGACAGUUGGGGGCAUUAGUAUUUAAUUGUCAGAGGUGAAAUUCUUGGAUUAGUUAAAGACUAACGUAUGCGAAAGCAUUUGCCAAGGAUGUUUUCAUUA
rnacentral:rRNA from 1 species